UACGUAGGGUGCAAGCGUUGUCCGGAAUUAUUGGGCGUAAAGAGCUCGUAGGCGGUCUGUCGCGUCGGCUGUGAAAACCCGGAGCUCAACUCCGGGCCUGCAGUCGAUACGGGCAAACUGGAGUGUUGCAGGGGAGACUGGAAUUCCUGGUGUAGCGGUGAAGUGCGCAGAUAUCAGGAGGAACACCGGUGGCGAAGGCGGGUCUCUGGGCAACAACUGACGCUGAGGAGCGAAAGCGUGGGGAGCGAACAGG
rnacentral:rRNA from 1 species